rnacentral:rRNA from 1 species
CUUACCAUGCAGUCGAGCGGUAAGGCUCCUUCGGGAGUACACGAGCGGCGAACGGGUGAGUAACACGUGAGCAAUCUGCCCUCCACACUGGGAUAACUCCCGGAAACGGGUGCUAAUACCGGAUACGACCACUUCAGGCAUCUGAUGGUGGUGGAAAGUUCCGGCGGUGGAGGAUGAGCUCGCGGCCUAUCAGCUUGUUGGUGAGGUAAUGGCUCACCAAGGCUUCGACGGGUAGCCGGCCUGAGAGGGUGACCGGCCACACUGGGACUGAGACACGGCCCAGACUCCUACGGGAGGCAGCAGUGGGGAAUAUUGGACAAUGGGCGAAAGCCUGAUCCAGCAACGCCGCGUGAGGGACGACGGCCUUCGGGUUGUAAACCUCUUUCAGCAGGGACGAAGCGCAAGUGACGGUACCUGCAGAAGAAGCACCGGCCAACUACGUGCCAGCAGCCGCGGUAAUACGUAGGGUGCGAGCGUUGUCCGGAAUUAUUGGGCGUAAAGGGCUCGUAGGCGGUCUGUCGCGUCGGGAGUGAAAACUCAGGGCUUAACCCUGAGCCUGCUUUCGAUACGGGCAGACUAGAGGUAUGCAGGGGAGAACGGAACUCCUGGUGUAGCGGUGAAAUGCGCAGAUAUCAGAAGAACACCGGUGGCGAAGCGGUUCUCUGGGCAUUACCUGACGCUGAGGAGCGAAAGUGUGGGGAGCGAACAGGAUUAGAUACCCUGGUAGUCCACACCGUAAACGUUGGGCGCUAGGUGUGGGACUCAUUCCACGAGUUCCGUGCCGCAGCUACGCAUAGCGCCCGCC